rnacentral:rRNA from 1 species
UACGUAGGGGGCAAGCGUUGUCCGGAAUCAUUGGGCGUAAAGCGCGUGUAGGCGGCUCGGUAAGUCUGCUGUGAAAGUCCAGGGCUCAACCCUGGGAUGCCGGUGGAUACUGUCGAGCUCGAGUCCGGAAGAGGCGAGUGGAAUUCCUGGUGUAGCGGUGAAAUGCGCAGAUAUCAGGAGGAACACCAAUGGCGAAGGCGCCUUGCUGGCCAAUUACUGACGCUGAGGCGCGAAAGCGUGGGGAGCAAACAGG